GGCUCUGUGGUGAAGUUCAUGUUGAGUUGCAAGCUCAUUGAUGUACACUGAGAGUGUACCGGAGUCU
rnacentral:tRNA from 2 species